rnacentral:pre_miRNA from 1 species
AGUUGGAAGUGGGGAUCUCGGCAUUUUUGUCUUUGGUUCUCAAAAAGGUUACCGGCGCUUUGCAAUUUGCCGUUCCUAGUGGAUCCAGGCGAAUUCCAAACGUCGCGCCAACCCUUACAAUCGUUAUUUGCCAGAUCUAUCUCUUCCAGCUCA